rnacentral:rRNA from 1 species
AGGGCGUAUGGGGAAUGCCUAGGCUCUCAGAGGCGAUGAAGGACGUGAUAAGCUGCGAAAAGUUACGGGGAAUGGCACACACAUUUUGAUCCGUAAAUAUCCGAAUAGGGCAACCUGGUUAUUUGAAGAAUAAUCAUCCAUCUUGUAUGGAAGCAAACCCGGAGAACUGAAACAUCUAAGUACCCGGAGGAAGAGAAAACAAUAGUGAUUCCGCUAGUAGUGGCGAGCGAACGCGGAAUAGCCCAAACCUAUGUUGUUACGGCAAUGUAGGGGUUGUAGGACUACAAUAUUUGUUGCUUAAUGAAUUAGAAUCUGUUGGAAAUCAGAACCAUAGAGGGUGAUAGUCCCGUAUAAGUAAAGACAGUUAACGAUAGUAGUAUCCUGAGUAGUACGGGGCACGGGAAACCUUGUAUGAAUCCGGCGGGACCAUCCGCCAAGGCUAAAUACUCCUGAGAGACCGAUAGUGAACUAGUACCGUGAGGGAAAGGUGAAAAGAACCCUGAAUAAGGGAGUGAAAUAGAUCCUGAAACCAUACGCUUACAAGCGGUCGGAGCCCAUUAGGGUGACGGCGUGCCUUUUGCAUAAUGAGCCUACGAGUUAACGUUGCUAGCAAGGUUAAGUACUUAAGGUACGAAGCCGUAGCGAAAGCGAGUCUGAAUAGGGCGCUUUAGUUAGCAGUGUUAGACGCGAAACCGUGUGAUCUACCCAUGGGCAGGGUGAAGCUGUAGUAACAUACAGUGGAGGCCCGAACCCGUUGACGUUGAAAAGUCUUGGGAUGACCUGUGGGUAGGGGUGAAAGGCCAAUCAAACUCGGAAAUAGCUCGUACUCCCCGAAAUGCAUUUAGGUGCAGCGUAUUAUUAGUUUUAUAGAGGUAGAGCUACUGAUUGGAUGCGGGGGCUUCACCGCCUACCAAUUCCUGACAAACUCCGAAUGCUAUAAAAUGUUAAUCAGCAGUGAGGGCAUGGGUGCUAAGGUCCAUGUCCGAGAGGGAAAGAACCCAGACCAUCAGCUAAGGUCCCAAAGUGUAUGCUAAGUUGAAUAAACGAGGUUUGACUGCCCAGACAGCUAGGAUGUUGGCUUGGAAGCAGCCAUUCAUUUAAAGAGUGCGUAACAGCUCACUAGUCGAGCGGUCGAGCAUGGAUAAUAAUCGGGCAUAAGUAUAUCACCGAAACUAUGGCAAUAUUUAUAUUGGGUAGGGGAGCAUUCUAUUCUACGUUGAAGGUAAACUGUGAGGUUUGCUGGAGUGUAUAGAAACGAAAAUGUAGGCAUAAGUAACGAUUAGGGGUGCGAGAAACACCCCCUCCGAAAAACUCAGGUUUCCUCAGCUAUGCUAAUCAGCUGAGGGUUAGUCAGGACCUAACGCGAACCCAAAUGGGGUAGUGGAUGGACAACCAGUUAAUAUUCUGGUACCUGCAUAGCAACAAAAGUGACGGAAAAGCAAUGUCAUUGCGUACUGACAGAAUAGUACGUUGAAAUCACUGUUAAGGUGAUGAUAGUACACCGAUCCUUCGGGUGAGGUGAUAAUAUGACGGACCUUUUUCCAAGAAAAACAAGCUAUGCAGCCUGUACUGUAAACCGACACAGGUAGUUGGGAUGAGGAUUCUAAGGAGCUCGAGAGAUUCAUGGCUAAGGAACUAGGCAAAUUUGACCCGUAACUUCGGGAGAAGGGUCGCCUACUUUUAGUAGGCCGCAGUGAAAAGGUCCAAGCGACUGUUUAUCAAAAACACAGGACUCUGCUAAGUCGAAAGACGAUGUAUAGGGUCUGACACCUGCCCGGUGCUGGAAGGUUAAGUGGAGAUGUUAGCAUUUAUUUGCAAAGCAUUGAAAUGAAGCCCCAGUAAACGGCGGCCGUAACUAUAACGGUCCUAAGGUAGCGAAAUUCCUUGUCGGGUAAGUUCCGACCUGCACGAAUGGUGUAACGAUUUGGACACUGUCUCAGCCAUGAGCUCGGUGAAAUUGUAGUAGCGGUGAAGAUGCCGCUUACCCGCCACGGGACGAAAAGACCCCGUGCACCUUUACUAUAGCUUCGUAUUGAUAUUGGAUAAGUAAUGUGUAGGAUAGGUGGGAGACUUUGAUUGAGCGUCGCCAGGCGUUUUUGAGUCGUUGUUGAAAUACCACCCUUUACUUCUCGGAUAUCUAACCCUUUUUGGGAACAGUGCGUGGUGGGUAGUUUGACUGGGGUGGUCGCCUCCAAAAGAGUAACGGAGGCUUCU